rnacentral:rRNA from 1 species
AGUGAACGCUGGCGGUAGGCCUAACACAUGCAAGUCGAACGGCAGCACAGUAAGAGCUUGCUCUUACGGGUGGCGAGUGGCGGACGGGUGAGGAAUACAUCGGAAUCUACUUUUUCUUGGGGGAUAACGUAGGGAAACUUACGCUAAUACCGCAUACGACCUACGGGUGAAAGCAGGGGAUCUUCGGACCUUGCGCGAUUGAAUGAGCCGAUGUCGGAUUAGCUAGUUGGCGGGGUAAAGGCCCACCAAGGCGACGAUCCGUAGCUGGUCGUAGAGGAUGAUCUGCCACACUGCAACUGAGACACGGUCCAGACUCCUACGGGAGGCAGCAGUGGGGAAUAUUGAACCAUGGGCUCAAGCCCGAACCAGCCAUACCGCGUGGGUGAAGAAGGCCCUCGCGUUGUAAAGCCCUUUUGUUGGGAAAGAAAAGCAGCAGGUUAAUACCCCGCUGUUCUGACGGUACCCAAAGAAUAAGCACCGGCUAACUUCGUG